rnacentral:misc_RNA from 1 species
UUAAGUUCAGCGGGUAUCCCUACCUGAUCCGAGGUCAACCUAUUAAAAUUGGGGUUGAUGGCAAGCACAUCAUAAACUCCAAAGCGAGAAGUAUUACUACGCUAGAAGCCAGAUGGCACCGCCACUGGUUUUAAGAUGCACUACUAAAGUGGCACCCAAUACCAAGCAGAGCUUGAGGGCUGUAAUGACGCUCGAACAGG